GUUAUAACCAGAAGUAAAAGAACACACAAUCGGGCAACAUUCUGAGCAUCUUCAGCCGCAAUGGAGCAAACAAGAUCUCCUCGAGUUCUAUUGGUGCUCUCGUCCAUUUUAUUUUUCUUGCCACAGACUUACUUUUCGUAUAGUGAAGAGGAGCUGAGACAGUUGAAGCUUCCAGUGGUAUUCUCCAGUAAGAUCGUCGUCUUCCAGACUGUUGUACAACACGAUGCGUAACUCAGUUUUAUAUCUGCUUUGGAUCAAUAUGCAUUUAGCGCUCAACUCCGCCACACCUGCGCUCUUUACUAGAAACGAAAUGUCCUAUCACCAACGGCUGCUCUGCAUCAUCAGAUUUGUGUGAGUGAUUUUUGCAUUUGUUCUAUUUCUGAAUCUUCUG